rnacentral:rRNA from 1 species
UUAACGACUCUCGGCAACGGAUAUCUCGGCUCUCGCAUCGAUGAAGAACGUAGCGAAAUGCGAUACUUGGUGUGAAUUGCAGGAUCCCGUGAAUCAUCGAGUUUUUGAACGCAAGUUGCGCCCGAAGCCGUCAGGCCGAGGGCACGCCUGCCUGGGCGUC